GACGAACGCUGGCGGCGUGCCUAAUACAUGCAAGUUGAGCGCUGAAGGUUGGUACUUGUACCAACUGGUUGAGCAGCGAACGGGUGAGUAACGCGUGGGGAAUCCGCCUUUGAGCGGGGGACAACAUUUGGAAACGAAUGCUAAUACCGCAUAAAAACUUUAAACACAAGUUUUAAGUUUGAAAGAUGCAAUUGCAUCACUCAAAGAUGAUCCCGCGUUGUAUUAGCUAGUUGGUGAGGUAAAGGCUCACCAAGGCGAUGAUACAUAGCCGACCUGAGAGGGUGAUCGGCCACAUUGGGACUGAGACACGGCCCAAACUCCUACGGGAGGCAGCAGUAGGGAAUCUUCGGCAAUGGACGAAAGUCUGACCGAGCAACGCCGCGUGAGUGAAGAAGGUUUUCGGAUCGUAAAACUCUGUUGGUAGAGAAGAACGUUGGUGAGAGUGGAAAGCUCAUCAAGUGACGGUAACUACCCAGAAAGGGACGGCUAACUACGUG
rnacentral:rRNA from 1 species